rnacentral:rRNA from 1 species
GACGAACGCUGGCGGCGUGCUUAACACAUGCAAGUCGAGCGGUAAGGCCCUUUCGGGGGUACGACGAGCGGCGAACGGGUGAGUAACACGUGGGUGACCUGCCCUCCAGCUCUGGGAGUAAGCCUGGGAAACCGGGGUCCGUAAUAACCGGAUAUGACUCCAUGACGCAUGUUGUGGGGUGGAAAGCCUUGUGCGGCUGAGGA